rnacentral:lncRNA from 1 species
UUGAAUCCACCGAUCAUCACAAGCAAGCAUCUUCGAUCCUUAUCCAUUUCAAAAAAUAAAAGUACAGAUCCAAGGCAUUUGACAUACCUGCUCUCUAGCUGCCUUAAUAUCCGUGAGUUGCAUUUAUCUGUCGAGAUAAGGAAGUUACCUCAGAACAUCCCUUCAAAUAUUGCUCACAUUUCCUUGGAUUGGGCUAGACUCAGUGAAGAUCCAUUGCCAACACUAGAAAAGCUACCUAAUCUAAGGAUUCUUGAAUUAGGACGAGAUGCGUUCCUCGGAGAGGUGAUGAUUUGUUCCGCCCAAGGUUUUCCUAUGCUCAACUCUUUGAGUAUUUUUUUGCAAGCAAAUUUAGAGGAGUUGAGGGUGAGUGAGGGAGCUAUGCCGAAUCUACACCAUCUGAUGAUUGCAAAUUGUAGAAACUUGAAGAUGCUGCCAAACGAGUUGAGGUUCAUCACAACCCUCAAAGAAUUGAAGAUCGAAAAGAUGCCAAAAACAUUCAAAGAUAAACUGGUUGAAGGAGGAGAAGAUUCAUACAAAGUCCAACAUGUGCCUUCUAUCAUAUUUCAAAAUUGUGAUUAUUGAAUUAUGAUCAUCAGGUAAUCUUUUAUUACCUAUUUCUAAGCUUAUUUUCUUUUGAAAUUAAAGAAUUGAAAUAGGAUUGAAUUAUGACCAUCAAAAUUUUUCUUUGGGUUAUUUUCUCGAGAAAAAUUUAUGUUAGAAAUUGAUAUUGUGAUUGAUUUCCAUUUUCUUAAGAAAAGAAAAGACAAUAUUUGCCACGUCAUCAACACUAUCCGUUGUGGUAUUAACUGAAACAGAACAUCGGUCAUUUCGUCACUUGAUAACCUCCUCCUCUCCUUUCUCAUUCCCACUCUAUCCUCUCUUUUCUUUUCCUGGUUUCUAUGUGCUUCCGUCAAUGGAUUCCAACACAAUCUUCUUCUCUUCAAAAUUCCAAACCCCAACUCUCCCACCUUCUUCUCCAUUGCGCUCUUGCACUAACCUCCCUCUAAUCAGCCGAUAAUUCCUUGGUUUCAAUCACUCUCUCAGGCCCCCAGGCGGUGGUUCUUCUCUCAGAAAGAAACACAAAAACUUGGGGUUUCUGCGCCUCCACUCUCCUCUCUUUAUCCUCAGAGCUUCUAUCGACUCCAAUUUGGUUCUCGUUGUCAUCGGUGUCACCGCAUUAUCGGCUUUAUAAGUCUGCAAGCACGCAUUAGAGCUAAUAUCUUUACUCUACUUGUUUCUAGGUGAAGUUGUGAAAAGGAAGCAACAAGAAUGUUUCUCUUGAAAGAUAUCCCCAAUUUGCAGAAGCUCUUUUUAGCUGUGUGGAGACUGGAGUGGAUUGGUGAGAUGAAGCCUAAGACUCUACUUGUAUUGAUAUGUUAUGUUGUAGAAGUAUUGAAUCUUUGUUUAUGACUUGUGUUGAUUUGUUAUAUAUGUUGUAGACGUAUUGGAUCUUUUUUUUCGACUUGUAUUGGUAUGUUAUGUUGUAGAAGUAUGGACUCUUUGUUUAUGACUUGUAUUGAUUUGUUAUGUUGUGGAGUGCGGACUCUUUGUUUUAUGGUUUGGCAAAUAAGAGAAAAAAAUCCAUCCAUGCCUGUGGUCUACCUGUACCGUAACAGGGAACUGCUUGUUCUUUCUAGCAAUACAUAAUCGAAAAUAGCUUCCUAUUUUGGGCCUAAUGGCUUUGAGCCCAAUGGAGCUUAAAUCAAGACCCAUAACUCGGUAGCCUCCGUUUGAAACGAACGUGUGGUUAACGAUGGGCCCAAUAUGUCGGUUACCGAUUUUUUUUAUAUAAGAGGACCCUACCUAACUCAAUCGAAAUCAAAAGGCGAAAUGGGAAACGGCAAUUCCUUCCUAGUUCAGCCCAGUUUUUUGCAACUUGUCUCGAAAGCUUUCAAAAGUCUUAAUGAGCAAGCCCAUUUCUUCUUUUUUUUUGCCAUUUUUGGAGUGAGGUUUGGGUCUGGACAACUUUAACUAUUAUAAGAUGACAUGGAUUGAUCUUUUAAGUCCCCUCUCUACAAUUAACCAUAUCUCAAUGAGACAAGAUUGUAAAGGAGUAAAUAUGCACAAACUAAAAUUAAAUAUUUACCCAAACAAAAAGGAAACCUAGAUUAAGUAAAGUUUAACUAUCCAUUGUACAUUUCUUAGAGUAAUGAAACCAAAAUUAAAGAAAAACAGGAGUGGACGAAAAUAAACUUUUACUUUUUCCCUCAUGAAGGGAUAGUAGGUUUCUUCAGUGAACAACCUUUAUUUUUUUUCUACAUUCCCAUUCUUUACUUAAACCACAGGUGGGAAAAGAGAAUGAACGGAUUCCUUCAAAUAUUAUUUUCUUGUUCUAUUGGCUCAUUUCACAGGACAAAGGUCAUCAAUUAAAUCUUUGUCCAUGUUAGCUGUUUUUCCCAAAUCCUUUAUGGAGAACUCCUUGGAUGAUCAAAUCUUUGUUGAUUGCAAUGUAGCUAUGUCUUUUCUUGUUAACAAUAUGUCAUUAACAUACAACACUAGAAAAAUGACAACACUUUCUUGUUUUCUUGUAUACAUAAGGAUUAUCUUUUUUUUUUUUAAUUUUUUUGAAUUAUCAUAUUUGUUUAUGAUUAUAUUCUCGAAAUACAUGUUUAAAUAUUUAUUAGUAUUAAUAUUAAUAAAAAUGAUCUAAUUCGUAAGUAUAUAAGAUUUCUAAUUGUAUCAAAUGACAUUCAUUAAAAAUAUUUUUAAAUAUAAAAAUUAAUAAUAUUUAUCUAAUGUAUAAAAAUUAAUAAAUAUUUGCGAAUAUGUCUUACUAUGAAAUUUCUCUUCUUUGGAAGAAGAUCUGGUUAGGUUAUGCUCCUUGUAGAGUUUAGAUAUUUGAUUGAUAAUAAUAUGUGAGAAAAAAUAAUAGUGAAAGUUGGGCUAGUUAAAUGGAAAUUAAUUGGUGAGAUCAAAUGAUGUGCGUGUUACGUAAAAAACACCUUGAAACUGUCAAUCAUCCUUUUUUUAUUUGUGAUGAGUCAUGGUACAUACGGGGUCUAUGGCUUUCCGAUUGGAAUUAUAGUUGGCUUAUCUCCUUCGUAAUUCUAAAAGCUUUUUUCUAGCUUGGGCUUCAGUGUGUCUUGAUAAGGAUAAAGUGAAGAUAUGGAUAUUAGCUUCCUAUGCAAUUUCAUGGUCGAUGUGGUUAUUUAGAAAUGUUAUUGUUUUAAUGAGAAGAGUUGGGAUGCCAAGCAAUUACAUGAUUUGAUCAAAUCAAGGAUUGCUCUUUGGAGUAAACCCUAGUGGCCAGAGUUGUUAGAGACCUAUGAAGAUACAUUCAGAUGGUCGAGUCUUGUGUCCAUUGCUCCAAACCAGCCAGAGAGACACUGACACGGGAGGCUCCAAUGUUGAGUUGGGUUAAGUUUAAUGUGGAUGGCGCAUUAGUUACGAAUCCGGAAAAACAUUUUUUAGUGAAAGUCAUUCAAUUCAUUUAGAAUUUUUAUCUUCAAAUUGGAUAAAUUUUAUUAAUAUUUAUGAUAAAAGAAUUUACAAUGACAAUUUAGGAAUAUAAUAAAUAAAAAUUUUUAAAUAUUUUCCAACAUUUAUACUUUUGUAGUACACGUAAAUACUUCAUUUAUUCUUUUGAAAUAAUAAUUAUAUGUCGAUACAUAUGUUUCUAAAAUAUAAAGUUAAAGCAUAAAUAAUUGAAAUUUUGUAACAUCAAUCUACAAAUUAUUCAAAUAUUAUUAGAAUAAGGAAAAGUAUUCUUUAAUGAAAAUCAUUCAAUGCAAUUAGAAUUUUUAUUUAUAAAUUGGAUAAAUUUUAUUUAUACUUUUAAUGAAAAACAGCCAUUUGAUGCAAUUAGAAUACUUAUUUACUAAUUAUAUAAAUCUUAAUAAAAAUAAUUAAAUUAAUAAUUUAAAAAUAUAAUAAAUAAAUAUAACUAUCUUCAUUAAAUAAAAUUUUUACAAUAUCCGUAUUUAUGAUUUUGUUUUUCUGUUAAAAUAAAUAGAGAAGAACAAUUUAUCCUAUUUCCCUCAAAUUCACUUUUCAACUUCUACUAAAUCCAAGCAAAAGUCUUUUUUUUUUUUCUCUACGCAGCGCUUGGUCCUGCUCACUUUUCCGCCCAGCUAAGCAUUAAUAAAGAGAACACAGGGCUAUGUAUGUCUGGUCGCUGUGGCAUCAAUCAGCAUCGAAAUUAAUGACUAAGACAAAGGUAGGUGAGAAACGAAUGGCUAAGAAAAAAGUACGUAGAAAACUAAAGGCUGAGAAAAAGGUAGAUAAGAAAAUAGAGUGAACAACCCAUGUUUGAUUAGGGUGUCACUUUCUUAUAUACAGUGUUGCAAUUUUAGUUCAUAAUUUUGUUUCAAGUGUGUCAGUAACAUCUGAUAUUAUAACUUUAACAUCAUCAAUUUGAAUAUUUUAUGCCUUUAAGGGGCAAAAUUAUUUUAUUAUGGGAAACUAAAAUUAUUGCAAAAUGCUCUAGACACAAUACAUGAAUUUUUGUUUAACGAUAAUAAUCAUGUGCAAUAAAUAUGAAUACUUAUUUUAUGUAUUCUAAUGGUUUUUUUUUUUAAUUUAUGGUUUCAUAUCAUAUGAUGAUUUCUUUCAAGUUCAUAAUCUUUUUAUUGAUCUAGCUAAUUUUAAAAUUUAUUUUUAUAUUAUACAAAAUCAAAAUUAUAAGAAUGAUGCAAGUUGAUGAAGUAUGAUUUUGAAUAACUUUAUUAAGGUUAGUAAAUCAAAAUGAUCUUUUUUAUUCAAACCGAAAACAACUCGAAUCAAAAGAAAUUUGAUGUGAAAUGCUCUAAAUUCAAAGUGAUCCAAACUCAAAAUGAUUCAAAUUUUCAUUAAUUCAAAAUAACCAAACUCAAAAUGAUAUGAACCUAUAUCUGACGUGACCUGCUCAAUUAGCCAUCUCUGUAUCAAAGGCUACUAAACCCUUAUCGUAAGAUUAUUUUAACUAAUGUUGAUUUGAGUUGACCGUCAUGGUUGUUAUAAGUCGACUGAAGGGAAGCAAAUCCUUGUCCUGAAAAUUAUCCUAGAAAAUCAACCAACAAGGCCUCCCCCUCUUCCGCCCUAACUUUUUCCAUUCAGCUCUCAAGACUGAAGAGCAGCUUCGGCAAAUAUCUCCCACAGUGCCUUAUCCUGAUCCAUCAUGGUAAGAUACCAAUUCAAGCUUCCUUUCAAAUUCCAAUGCUUCAUGCUCAUUUCUCUCUCUCUCUUCCUGUCCUUUGCUUUUGCCUUUCUUGUAUUUUGUUUUAUGAUUAAAAGAUAGUGAAUUUCGUACUUACAAAAGAAAAUGAAAAGGGAUUAAGGAAAUGCUUAGGCGAUAAACUUCGCCCAGCUGCCUCCAUGUGGUAUAUUCGGCUCUCUACUAAGCUCCUUUCUAGCUACUGAAUAUUUUCAGAUCACUCCACAUAACCCAUGCACUGUCUCCUUCAAGUCUGCAGACUGGCAGUUAAAUCUAAUAUCUUUACGUUUUCCAGGUGAAAAAGAAUCUACAAGCUUGUUUCUAUUGAAAGAUAUCCCCGAUUCGCAGCAUCUCUUUAAGUUGAGUGGAGAGCGGAGUGGAUUGGUGAGAUGAAGCCUAAGACUAGACUUGUAUUCAUUUGUUAUGUUGUGUAAGUAUUGACUCUUUGUUUAUGACUUCCUCAUGGCUUGGCAGAAAAAAGGGAAAAAAAUUUAUCUGUCCCUUUGUCUAUGUAUAAGAGGGAACUGCUUGUUCUUUCUAGUAAAUAUUGUGUGGUUGGCAAUACAUCCAAACUAGCUUGCUAUUUUGGGCCUAAUGGCCUUAGGCCGAGCGGAACACAAAUCAAGAUCCGUAACUCGUUAGCGUUCGCUUCAUGUUCAUGUAACGACAAAAACACCAGAUUUUCUUUGUUGAGAGAAAGCAGGGCCUAACAUAUGGCGGAAUCUGUUGUGUCCAAUGUUGCAGCAAGACUUGAGGACUUAGUAAUUGAAGAAGCUAAAUUCUUGCGGGGCGUGGCUGAUCAAGUUAAGCAUUUGCAAAUGGAGCUCGUUUGGAUGAAGAGCUUCUUAAAAGAGGCAGAUUCGAGACAAGCUGAGAAUGAGAUGGUUCGUAUGUGGGUUGCUGAAAUUAGAGAGAUUGCUUAUGAUGCUGAGGAUGUCAUUGAAACUUUUGCUCUCAAAAUUGCAUCCAGAAGGAGGGGAGGUAUUUCGAAUUUCAUCAAAAGAUCUGCCUGCAUCUUCAAAGAGGGAUGGAUGCUCCACAAGGUCAGGUCAGACAUUGAAGGAAUCAUAAGCAGAAUCACUGACUUGGUUCGACGGUUACAGUCCUAUGGAAUAAAAGAAUUGUCAGAUGGAGCAAGCUCAAGUUCUUCAUCUAAGAGGCAACAGUUAAGGCAGUCUUACCCUCAUAUGAAGGAACCCAAUGCUGUUGGGUUGGAUAACGCCAUAAAAGAAUUGGUCUCGGUUCUUGUAGAUGAGGGAAGGCAUUUCCGCGUUGCUUCCAUAUGUGGCAUGGGUGGUCUAGGAAAGACUACUCUGGCUAAGAAGGUUUACCAUCAUGCUCAAGUGAGAAAUCAUUUCAAGCACUUUGUUUGGGCGUACAUUUCUCAGCAAUGCCAAAGAAGAACUGUGUGGAGAGGAAUUUUAUCCAGCCUAGGUCUUAUAGAUGAGAAGGGUGGGAUAUUGCUAGACAUGGGAGAUCAAGAUCUGGCUGCAAAAUUGUAUGAAUUCCUGAAAGAAAACAAAUGUCUAGUGGUACUUGAUGACAUUUGGACAACUGAAGAUUGGGAUGCUAUUAGCCCAGCCUUCCCAAUGGAGGAGGAGACAGGUAGCAAAAUACUGCUCACCUCUCGUAACAAGGAUGUAGCUUGGCAUGCAGACUCAAGAGGUUGCCUCCACGAACUACAGUUCUUAACAGAUGAAGACAGUUGGAAAUUGUUCCAACAUAUUGCGUUUCCUAGAAGUGAUUCUGCAGGUAAUAUAUAUCUUAGCUCAAUUUAUAAUUUUAAAUUUUGGGUAAAAUAUGUGCAUUAUUUCAUUCUCAUUUCAUAGAAAUUUUUUACAAUUUAAAGAAAGGAGAAAUGCAUCAUUUUAAUUUGUGUAGCAUAUGCACUCUCGAAAUGCCCCAAUAUUCAUUUGUCUCUAGAUGUUAUUAUUAGUUCUAUCCAUGCCCCAAAUUCUGAGAUUUCUAUUGAGCUCUAGAUGUUUACCUUUAUUUUUUUUCUUUCUUGUCAAAUUUCCCUUCAAAAUUUCUUUAAGCAAUUUCUGCAAUCUAAAAAUACCCAAUAUUCUUUUAUAAGAAAAACUAAAAGAAAUAUCUUAUUGUUAUUUUUUUUUGACAACAUAUAUUAAUUAGGUGUGUGUUUAUUUGUGGGCUACAUAUGAUCGAUGACUUUUAUUGCUAGUUUAAGUUUUUUCUAUAAUAUGUUAAUUCGAGAUUGUAUAUAUCAAUAUAGUUUUGUUUUUUCUAUUAUUUCCCAGGCUAUGUAAUUGAGGAAAAAAUGGAAGAGUUGGGAAAGGACAUGGUUAAACAGUGUGCUGGGUUGCCAUUAGCCAUUGUUGUUCUAGGAGGAAUUUUGGUUACAAAGCAUUCAUUAAAUGAUUGGCAAAUCGUGCAUGAAAAUGUGAAGUCAUACUUAAGAAGAGGUAGAAGUUGGGGAAUCCAUGAAGCAAUAGCUUUAAGUUAUGAUAAUUUGCCGCCUCAUUUAAAACCAUGCUUUUUGUAUUUGAGUGUUUUCCCGGAGGAUUACAAGAUUCAUGUUGGUAAAUUAAUCAAAUUAUGGGUGGCAGAAGAUAUUGUGUCACUAGCAGACAGUGAAGAAAAUGGAGAAGAAAUGAUAGAAGAUGUAGCAGAAGGCUACUUAAGUGAGCUUGUAGAAAGAUACAUGGUGCUAGUGGGAGAACGAGAUGUAAGCUCAAAGAUCAAAACAUGCUGGAUGCAUGAUCUUAUCAGAGAUUUCUGCUUGUUGAAGGCAAAACAAGAAAAUUUCACCUAUGUUCUUGAUCGUUUUCAAAUGGAGCAAGCUGAGGCUAGCAUCUUGUCCCCUUUAAUUAGUAAAGUUCGCAGGCUUGGCAUUAAUGAUUCCUUUCUGAUAAAUAGGAUUAAAAGCCCACAUCUCAGAUCUGCAUUGUUCUUUGAUCAAUACUUUGAGAGGGAGCUUUUGGAAAGGUCUACGCUCUCAAAAUGGCUGGGGGAAGAAGACUAUGGGGAAAGUUUUACUAUUGUUGAUGCAUGUUUAGAAUCGCUUCGUUGGGUCUCUUGGCUCUGUGAGUUAAGGCAUAAAACUCGAGGGUUAACGAGAUACAUUUGCAACAAUUUCAAAUUGCUUAGAAUCCUAGAUUUUGGAGAUGCGAAUAUUUUAUUUUUGCGCAUAUUAUUACUAAGUGAUAUAGGUAGUCUCAUCCAUUUGAGAUUUUUGAGUCUUGGCCGAUGUGCUUUCGCGGCAAUGUUGCCAUCAUUUAUAAGCAAACUAAGGUUCUUGCAAACCUUGGAUUUAAGAGAUUGUGUUGGGGUUUAUGUGCCUAAUGUUUUAUGGAAAAUGGAGCGGUUGAGGCAUUUGUAUCUCCCUCAAAAAAUGGUUAGUAUGAGAACCAAAUUGAAAUUGAAUACUUUAAAAAACUUGCAAACGCUUGUGAAUUUUAAUACUAAGAAUUGUUAUCUUGAAAAUAUUUACUGCAUGAAAUAUCUUAGGGAAUUGGGGAUAAGAACACCCUUCAUUGUUGAAAACUUUAAGGAGGACUCGAAUUUGAACACGCCGGUUAUCACAAGUAAACAUCUUCGAUCCUUGUCCAUUAUUAAGAAUGAUGAUGAUCACGAAAGUAUAGAUCCAAGGCAUUUGACAUACCUGCUCUCUAGCUGCCAUAAUGUCUGUGAGUUGCAUUUAUCUGCCGAGAUAAGGAAGUUACCAGAACCUCAGCACAUCCCUUCAAAUAUUGCUCACAUUUACUUGGCUAGGGCUAUGCUCGAUGAAGAUCCAUUGCCAACACUACAGAACCUACCUAAUCUAAGGAUUCUCGAAUUAGAAGAAUCUGCAUUUGUCGGAAAGGUGAUGAUUUGUUCCGCACAAGGUUUUCCUCUGCUCCACUCUUUGAGUAUUAUUUCUCAGACAAAUUUAGAGGAGUUGAGGGUGAAUGAAGGGGCAAUGCCCAAUCUACACCAUCUGAGGAUUGCAGAUUGUAGAAAGUUGAAGAUGCUGCCAAAUGAGUUGAGGUUCGUCACAACUCUCAAAGAAUUGAAGAUUGAAGGGAUGCCAAAAGCAUUCAAAGAUAAAUUGGUUGAAGGAGGAGAAGAUUCAUACAAAGUUCAACAUGUGCCUUCUAUCAUAUUUCAAAAUUGUGAUUAUUGAAUUAUGAUCAUCAGGUAAUCUUUUAUUACCCAUUUCUAAGCUUACUUUCUUUUGAAAUUAAUGAAGUGAAAUUGAUUGAUAUGAUCAACAAUAUUUUGAUAUCAAUUCCUUUUUUCAUUUGUUGUGAAAAAUUUUUCUUUAUCAAGGUAAUGCACCAUGUUCUUUCUUUCUUUUUUUUUUUGGUUCUUUCAUCAUUUACGAUCUUAAUCUCUUGAAAUUGUUCUUAGAUUACAUUUUUUGUUUUAUCAUUUAUGACUGUUCUUUCUUUUGGUCAUUUCCUCGAGAAAAAUUUUAUCUAGAAAAUUGAUAUUGUGAUUGACUUCCAUUUUCUUAAGAAAAUAAAAGACAAUGUUUGCCACGCCAGCAACACUAUCCGUUGUUGUAUUAACUGAAACAGAACAUCGAUCAUUUCGUCACUUGAUACCCUCCUCCUCUCCUUUCUCAUUCCCACUCUAUCCUCUCUUUUCUUUUCCUGUUUCCUAUUUGCUUCCGUCAAUGGAUUCCAACGCAAUCAUCUUCUCUUUAAAAUUCCAAACCCCAACUCUCCCACCUUCUUCUCCAUUGCUCUCUUCCACUAACCCCCCUCUAAUCAGCCGAUAAUUCCUUGGUUUCAAUCACACUCUCAGGCCUCCCGACGGUGCUUCUUCUCUCCGAAAGAAACACCAAAACUUGGGGUUUCUCCGCCUCCACUCUCCUCGCUUUAUCCACAGAGCUUCUGUCGACUCCAAUUUGGUUCUCAUUGUCGUUGGUGUCACUGCGCAUUAUCGGCUUUAUAAGUCUGCAAGCACUGAUUAGAGCUAAUAUCUUUACUCUACUUUUUUCCAGGUGAAGUCGUGAAAAAGAAGCCACAAAGCUUGUUUCUCUUGAACGAUAUUCCCAAUUCGCAGAAGCUCUUUUUAGUUGUGUGGAGACUGGAGUGGAUUGGUGAAUGAAGCCAAAGACUCUACUUGCAUUGAUAUGUUUAUGUUGUACCAGAAUUGACUCUUUGUUUAUAACUUGUAUUGAUUUGUUAUGUUGUACUUGUACAAGUAUUGACUCGUUGUUUGUGACUUGUAGUGAUUUGUUAUGUUGUGGAGUAUCAACUCUUGGUUUAUGAGCUCCUUGCGGUUUGGCAGAUAAAGGGGAAAAAUUCAUCUUUCCGUCCCAUUGCUCUCUAUGUAUAACAGAGAACUGCUUGUUCUUUCUAGCAACACAUCCAUCCAAAAUAGAUUGCUAUUAUGGGCCUAAUGACCCAUAACUCGUUAAACGAAUGUGUGGUUAGGGUUGGGCCGAAUAUGUCGGUUUCAGAAUUUUUAUAUUAUGGGACUCAACGCGAUCGAAAUCGAAAAGCGAAAUGGGCAACGGCAAUGCCUUCCUGGUUCAGCUCAUUUUUCAGCUACCUGUCCUAAAAGCCUUCAGAAUUCUCCACUUAUACCGUAAAUUUUCUACUAAUUCAAUUCAUUAGAAAAUCCCAGUUAUUCCAUAGUUUUAAUUCCUUCCCUGACUGUCGACUUGACGUAAGCUUCAAUAUUAGAGUUUUUAACUUCAGUUUUGUGUUUCCAUUUCUCUUUUAUUUUCUUUUAUUUCCCAAUCGCAAUUAUUUGAAAUUAUUAUUAAUUUUUGGUCCAGAAUUUAAAUUAAUAUUAUCAUUCAUAAUUCAAAGCGUUUGGCUGGAUCAUCCAUGUUCUGAUGUCUGUUUGUCUAUUCAUUUGUCUUGCAUAAAAAUUUUCUUUUAUUAAGAUAGUGCUCUAUGUUAAUCUUUCUUUCUUCCUUGUUUUAUAUUUGUUGAGAUUAUUUUAAUAUCAAAUUUUAUUAAGGCCCUUUUCUCUUCUAGAAAAAUUUUGCCUCAGAAAUUGAUUUAAUAAUUUUCCAUUUCUUUUAAAAAACCGAAAAGACAAUAUUUAUCAACGGAGCAUGUCUUUUUAACUUUCACUAUUUUCUUCUUUUUUUUAGUUGUUUUUUAUUUUUUAUUAUUUAGAGUGAGAUUUGAGUGUGGACUAUUAUAAGAUGACGUGAAUAGAUCUUUAAGUCCCCUUUCUACAACUAACCAUAUCUUAAUGAGACAAGAUUUAAACUAAAAUUAAAUAUUUACCCAAAACAAAAAAGAAACCUAGACUAAGUAAAGUUUAACUAUCUCUUGUAUUUCUUAAGAGUAAUGAAAGAAAAACAGGAGUGUACGAAAAUAAACUUUUACUUUUUCCCUCAUAAAGGGAUAGUAGGUUUCUUCAGUGAACAACCUUUACUUUUUUCUACAUUCCCAUUCUUUACUUAAACCACAGGGGGUGGGAAAAGAGAAUGAGCGGAUUCCUUCGAAUAUUAUUUUCUUGUUCUAUUGACUCAUUUCACAGGACAAAGGUCAUCAAUUAAUUGUAGCCCACGUCACUUCAAUCUUGCAUGCAACUUAAUCGAUCAAAGCAAUGGAGCCAAUAUAUAUUUCUCUUGCCGCCAGGUCAUUGCUUCUAAUGGUAGUUUAAGAAUUUAUUCCCCAAGGAAUUUUGGACGAAGCUCACUUUUGUUGGGGAAUCGCUGCUUAGACCGUUCCACAAGCAAUCAUAUUAUUCUAAAGUUGCAAUCGAGAAAUAUAAUAAUGGUAAUCGCAGUUAUAAAUUGAUGAAAAUAAACACACAGAUUUCACCAGGCUUUCUUUGUUGAGAGAAAAAAGAACGUAACAUAUGGCGGAAGCUGUUGUGUCCAAUGUUGCAGCAAGACUUGGCGAGUUAGUAACUCAAGAAGCAAAAUUCUUGUGGGGGGUGGAGGACCAAGUUAAGCGUUUGCAAACGGAGCUCGUUUGGAUGAAGAGCUUCUUGAAAGAGGCAGAUUCGAGACAAGCUGAAGAUGAGAGGGUUCGUUUGUGGGUUACUGAAAUUAGAGAUAUUGCUUAUGAUGCUGAGGAUGUCAUUGAAACGUUUGCUCUCAAAAUUGCAUCCAAAAGGAGGGGAGGUAUUUCCAAUGUCAUCAAAAGAUCUGCUUGCAUCUUCAAAGAAGGAUGGAUGCUCCACAAGGUCAGGUCAGACAUUGAAGGAAUCAUAAGCAGAACCACUGACUUGGUUCGACGGUUACAGUCCUAUGGAAUAAAAGAAUUGUCGGAUGGAGCAAGCUCAAGUUCUUCAUCUAAGAGGCAACAGUUAAGGCAGUCUUACCCUCAUAUGAAGGAACCCAAUGCUGUUGGGUUGGAUAACGACAUAAAAGAAUUGGUCUCGGUUCUUGUAGAUGAGGGAAGACAUUUCCGCGUUGCUUCCAUAUGUGGCAUGGGUGGUCUAGGAAAGACUACUCUGGCUAAGAAGGUUUACCAUCAUGCUCAAGUGAGAAAUCAUUUCAAGCACUUUGUUUGGGCGUACAUUUCUCAGCAAUGCCAAAGAAGAACUGUGUGGAAAGGAAUUUUAUCCAGCCUAGGACUUAUAGAUGAGAAGGGUGGGAUAUUGCUAGACAUGGGAGAUCAAGAUCUGGCUGCAAAAUUGUAUGAAUUCCUGAAAGAAAACAAAUGUCUAGUGGUACUUGAUGACAUUUGGACAACUGAAGAUUGGGAUGCUAUUAGCCCAGCCUUCCCAAUGGAGGAGGAGACAGGUAGCAAAAUACUGCUCACCUCUCGUAACCAGGAUGUAGCUCGGCAUGCAGACCCAAGAGGUUGCCUCCAUGAACUACAGUGCUUGACGAAUGAUGAAGGUUGGAAAUUGUUCCAACAUAUAUGUGAUUCUGCAGGUAAUAUAUAUCUUAACUCACUUAAAAUUUUAAAUUUUGGGUCAAGUAAUGUGCAUUUCAUCCUCAUUCCAUAAAAUUUUUUACAAUUUAAAGAAAGGAGAAAUGCAUCAUUUUAAUUUGUAUAGCAUAUGCACUCUUGAAAUGCCCCAAUAUUCAUUGGUCUCUAGAUGAUGUUUUUUUGAAAAGCAAUACUGAAAUUUCAUUGAUCAAAAGAAAUUACAAAAACUACCCUUGGGGUGGUAGUGCAGGUUGCCUUUACAGGCUUUCAAUGACCUGUGUACCUUGCUCCGCAUAAGUGAAAGAAAAACAAAAGUAUUAACCUGGGUGCAUAUUAGAUCAACCUAUAGACAUCCGCAUACAUUCCGUAGGCUAAUAAAAAAUCUUCUCACAGAACACGCAGGGACAUUCCAACACAACCAGGUUUUUAUUCCCUGAACACGAGGUACAUCAAGCUUCUUUAAUUUCUUCCACUAGAACACAAAAAAACAGAGACCAACCAAAUAGUAUUACAGGCAAUUACAUCAACAGCAGCGCUCAACCCAAUCAUCUAAGUAUACUAUAUGUCCUUUGACCCUGUCCAAAUCCAGUACUAAUAAGAGAAAUUUUUGGGAGGUAUGAUCAUAGUCGUGUCCCUACCUUCCUGUCUUGGACUCCUCAUAAUACCUCCAAGACUGGAGGUGUUUGUGGUUUGAUGAUUUAGCUGAAUUUAAAGGUUGAUUUUGCUUUUUGACUCUUGAAUGUUUUACGUGUACAGAAUGUGGUUUUGUAUGGCUCUCUUGCUUAACCUUUUGGUGCAGGUUGUGGGUUGGGUAGCUGGGUGGUUUUUGUACAUGUGUAUAGGAUAUUGUCUCUUCUCCUGUAUGUUUUUUGUGGUUACAGGAGUGAGGACUUGGGCAGGACUUUGGGUUCUUCUUGUGUCUGUUCCUUGUUCUGGAGAGGUUGAUACCGGUUUGGAAUGCUGUGCCAUAGGAUAUUGGGAGGUAUACCUGGUAGUCAAUGGGCAUAUCUCCCAAUAUCUGUGGUUUGGUCCUGUUCAGGGUCUGCUUUUGUAUAGGAGAAUUUCUCUCCCCCUUGUUUCUUAAUGAAACCUUCUAAUGACAUUUCAAAAAAAAAAAAAAACCUCCCUCACUGACACCAUUAGCGAUAAAUUUAUAGCACCUAGAACAUAACAGCCAACAUCCCAUUUCCCGCACCCUAGAUUACCUCCGUUCAAAGUUUGAGUAUAUCCUGUGUACCAUAAAUCUCCACACGGACCUCUACCAUGCGCACCCCUAAUGAAGGCUUGCAGUGGUAGCCUUCAACCCCCUUGAUUAAGCUCUGUUACAUCAUUUGACUCCUCCUAAGAAGACCUGAAAAUCAACAAACGACCUGCAGACCUCCCAAGCACACACCAAGCCAACAAGCAUAAUAACAAAAAAAAGGAACCAAGUGAGAAUGGUCCCUUGACAAGACAUCCGGCUAGCCUACCGCAACACCAAACCAUAGCCGUACCAAUAUUUGAGUAGCUCUCAAAUGAAACGAAAAGAGAUGGAUCUUAGCCUAAUAGCUCCCAAGCGUUUUCAGCUUAAUUUCUAUUCUUGAUUGUUAUAAUUUCCUCUUUUUUUUCCUUCCCUUCCACCCCCCUUCCCUUUUUUUUUUCCCUUUUUCACUUUUACAUUUUUCCUGUUAGUUUUUUCUCCUUUUUUUUUUUUAUCAUAAUUCAUGCAAAAUAUGCCAAUCCUAUCUCAAUUUCACCCCCUGGACAAAGACAUACGAAGAAUCACCCACCCACCUCUCCCCCCUCGCUUAUUAACAAAAAAAAAUAGUUUAAUUUUAAUUAAACUAGUAUAUCAUGUCGAAAUAGUUUUUAAAUCUAAUUAUACUAAUAUAAUAUAUCUUAAUAUUAUUAAGAUAAAAUUAUUAUACUUAGAUCUUAUAAAAAAGAUUUAAAAAAAAAUCAACAUUUAAAUUUAAAAAAAGUGAUUUAAGUGUAUGUAAGAUAAAAAUUAUAAAUUUAAUAUUAUUUUUAUAAUUUUUUAAUUUUUUUCUUUAACGAAUCUUUUUUGAUUACUGGACCUAGGUAAUUGUUGUAUUUCCACGACAAAAACCUAUUUAGUUACAUUCAGUCCCUGCCCACGUACCCCAAUUUUCCCAUCAACCAACACAAUCACCACCAUGAGCCAACCCACGCUACCCCAAUUUUCCCAUCAACCAGCACAAUCACCACCAUGAGCAAGUCCAAACAUAAACCUUCACCCCAUACAUUCUUGUAAAUCUGAGGACCUUUAAUAGUCUUCUGUACUUCUCUCCUACUCCCUUACUUCCAACUCUCCCCCAAAUCUUCUUCAACCCAACCCCCCUACCCCUUCCUUAUGCAGCCAGCUAUGUCUUCUUUUUUUUUUUUUCUUAUUCCCUCAUAUUGUUCAUAUAUUUUUUUAUAUUGUACGUAAAAAUAUACCUGUACACGGUCACCCGUCAGCCUUGCCAACCCAGCUUGGUACCUGCAAUUCUCGAUCCUCCCAUGGUCUUCAAAUCUAGAAAAUUGAUGCUUGACAUAGAGCUUAAAUAAAAAUUUAAUGCUCAUUAUCAAACCAGCAUAAAAAGGUGCAACAUUGGCAACCCCAACAGAACCUUUAAGAAAAUAAGUUAAUCCCAACCUUCAUCCCCACCCAAACAGUGGACAAUUAUUUAUAACCUCUCAUGUGGGCUUUCAACCCCUUCCUUUGCCAGUUAAUCUGCAAACCCAUUUGCCUUCCUCAUAUUGUGCUAAAUGCUUCGCCUUUCAAUUCUCGACAGUAGUGCAUGAUGAACAGCAAAUGGUGUCUCAAUCUCCACAAUAUCGAGUUAGGAUUUUAAUUUGGUCCACCCCACAGCAUUAAGAGAAUCACUUUCACUAAUCAGUUGGUAUGAACCCACCCCUUUUAAGUAGCAAAAAUGACCACAGCUUUAAUGACAAGGAGCUCUGCUGUGUUGGAUUCUGUAAUGCCCACCGAUUUGGAGAAUAGCACUUUCAUCACCCUUUACUCAUCUCUAAGGACUUCGCCUAUUCCUACUUUCCCUGGUUUACCCUUUGAAGAUCCGUCCAUACUAAACUUCAUGUACCCUGGGGGAAGGACAUAAUCACUGUACCUGCUUCUUCUUAAUUUUUCUCCUCACAGGCUCACACAUUAAAUGAGUGUGUAGUAAGGCGUUCGUGGCAUUAAGAUUAUUUGCCUUGUGCCAAUGUACUACCCUGUACUUAAUGAUUUCAAAUGCUUACUCGGCAUCCCAUACAUUACCCCUCAAAAACCACCUCAUUUAUUUGAAUCCAAAUGGACUAAAUUAUGGCAAAGAAAGCCAUCCACCACGAUUUCAUGAUGCUAACGUGCCAUUCCACCUCUAUCCAUGCUAUUCGGAGCCCCUUUCCAUAUCAACUAUAUUCACCAUCUUUAGCAGGAGUACCUUUUGCAAUCACUUCCCAAUCCAUAAGACCCCUGUGAUAUUCAAUGCUUCAAUUCCAUUCCCCGUCCACGUAAAUCCCAUACUCACACACCUUCUCAUAUCUGUUAACAGCCAGUGUAAAAUUGCUCGGAAAAACGAUCUUAAGGAUGAUAUCUGUGAUCUAUUCCUCCGACCAAAAAGAAAUCCGACCUCCAUUUCUCAAACCGAAACUGAUCCCUGCUGUGGUUUGAAGGUAAUAUCUGUUGUAAUCUCAAGAGUGUUCAUGAUUCCUUCCAACACCUUGGAAGUCCUAUUUCCCCUCCCAAGCCUCGGGACAAAACUUGCAUCUUCACAUUCGAUCUUUUCAACAAUGACCUUCUUCCAUAAUCUGUUGGGUUCAUUUCCGAACUUCCAAAUCCAUUUAUUCAACAUUAUUUUAUUUUUCAAGCUUAAAUCCACUAACCCCAAGCCAUCAUUAUCUUUGUAAUUACAAACCGAAUCUCAAUCCUCAAGAUAAAUUUUGCGCUCCAUCACUGUUUCACUCCAUAAAAAUCGGCCUUUGAUCUUGUCAAGCCCAUAUUUCGCACCCUUAGAGAUUUGAAAGUGGGACGUAUAAUAAAUGGAUAGAUUGGACAAAACCGUUUUGAGAAAUGUGACUCUACCUUCGGUGGAUAGGAACUUUCCUCUACAGCUUGCCAAUCUUUGCUCCAAUCUCUCAAUCAUUUGCCUCCAAACCCCUAAGUACCUUGGAUUGGCUAGCAACGACAUUCCCAUGUAUGUCGUAGGCAAUGUCCCAAUUUUGUAUCUGAUUCUGUUUGCCCACCUUUGCACCACAGUGUCCUUAAUCCUAAUAUCAUACAAACUACUCUUUUAAAAAUUAAUUUUCAAUCUCCAGAUCGCUUGAUAGCAUUUGAGAAUCCUUUUAACAUUGAGAAAUGAGUCAUACUAGCCAUCCCUAUAAAUUAAUUUUAUAAAUUAAUUUCUUCAUCGGACAAAACAGUAUUGUGUCGUAUGCAUAUUGCAAACUAGCCAUCCCUCUAGCCAUACUUAUGAGAAUUCUAUUGAUCUUCUUAAAGUCCAAGACAUUAAAUCGAAUCUAGAUUUCUAUUUCUGAUUUUGUCAAAGAUAUAAUUAAGGAAAAUGAAAUUUAUAAAAUUGUUAAAAGAAAAAUUAUAAAAUUGAGUACUUUAUGUCUUUUGAUUUAAUAUAUAUGUAAAAUAUUUGAGGAUAAAAGUUAAUUAAUGACAACUUGCAGAAAAAUAAAGUUAAGGUGAUCUGCUGGAUGUUUUUAUCCCCUGUUUGUUGUAAAGGUGAUCUGAUCUUAUUCAGGUCUGCUUGUUUGGAUGUACAAAGGGCUUCCCCUUCCUCAGUCAAUGAACUUUUCAUAUAAUUUUGAGAAAAAAAAUACCCAAUAUUCUUCUAUAAAAAAAACAAAAAGAAAAGUCUUAUUGUUAUAUUUUUGGCAACAUAUAUUAAUUAGCAUAUGUGUUUAUUUGUGGGCUACAUAUGAUUGAUGACUAUUAUUGCUAGUUCAAGUAUUUGAGAUGGUAUAUAUCAAUCUAGUUUUCUUUUUUCUAUUAUUUCCCAGGCUAUGUAAUUGAGGAAAAAAUGGAAGAGUUGGGAAAAGACAUGGUUAAACAGUGUGCUGGAUUGCCAUUAGCCAUUGUUGUUCUAGGAGGAAUUUUGGUUACAAAGCAUUCAUUAAAUAGUUGGCAAAUAGUGCAUGAAAAUGUGAAGUCAUACUUAAGAAAAGGUAGAAGUUGGGGAAUUUAUGAAGCAAUAGCUUUAAGUUAUGACAAUUUGCCAUCUUAUUUAAAACAAUGCUUUUUGUAUCUGAGUGUUUUCCCCGAAGAUUACAAGAUUCCUGUUGGUAAAUUAAUCAAAUUAUGGGUGGCAGAAGAUAUCGUGUCACUAGCAGAAAGUGAAGAAAAUCGAGAAGAAGUGAUGGAAGAUGUGGCAGAAGGCUACUUAAAUGAGCUUGUAGAAAGAUACAUGGUGCUAAUGGGAGAACGAGAUGUAAGCUCAAAGAUCAAAACAUGCUGGAUGCAUGAUCUUAUCAGAGAUUUCUGCUUGUUGAAAGCAAAACAAGAAAAUUUCAUCUACGUUCUUGAUCAUCUUCAAAUGGAGCAAGCUGAUGUUAGCUUCUUGUCCCCUACAAUUGGUAAAGUUCGCAGGCUUGGCAUUAAUGACUCCUUUCUGAUAUAUAAGAUUAAAAACCCACAUCUCAGAACUGCAUUGUUCUUUGAUCAAAACAUUGUGAUGGAGAUUUUGAAUAGGUCUCCGGUCUUGAAAUGGUUUCGGGGAAGAGAUUUUAAACAUAGUGAUGCAUUUUUAAUGCUUUAUGUCUACUAUAAGGUCAUACAUAAACCUCGAGGGUUAAGGAGAUACAUUUGCAACAAUUUCAAAUUGCUUAGAAUCUUAGAGUUUGGAGAUCAGGAUAUUCUAUUUUUUGGCAUAUUACUAAGUGAUAUAGGUAGUCUCGUCCAUUUGAGAUUUUUGAGUUUUGGGAAUUGUCUUUUCGUGGCAAUGUUGCCAUCAUUUAUAAGCAAAUUGAGGUGCUUGCAAACCUUGGAUCUAAGAAAUUGUGUUGGAGUUUAUGUACCUAAUGUUUUAUGGAAAUUGGAGGGGUUGAGACAUUUGUAUCUCCCUAAAGUGAUAGUUUGUAGUAAAACUAAGUUAAAAUUAGAUACUUUGAAAAAUCUACAAACGCUUGUGAAUUUCAACACCGAGAAUUGUUAUCUUGAAAAUAUUUACUGCAUGAAAUAUCUUAGAGAGUUGAGGAUAAUUACUCCCUUCAUUGUUGAAAACUUUAAGGAAGACUUGAAUUUGAACCCGCCGAUCAUCACAAGUAAACAUCUUCGAUCCUUGUCCAUUAUUAAGAAUGAUGAUGAUCAUGAAAGUAUAGAUCCAAGGCAUUUGACAUACUUGUUCUCUGGUUCCCUUAAUAUCUGUGAAUUGCAUUUAUCUGCCAAGAUAAGGAAGUUACCCGAACCUCAGCACAUCCCUUCAAAUAUUGCUCACAUUUACUUGGGUUGGGCUAGACUCGAUGAAGAUCCAUUGCCAACACUACAGAACCUACCAAAU